AAAGAGUGGUUUUGAUGGUUUCUUCGAGGCGAGAGCCGAAGGAGGAAGAAGAAGAGGUGGCGCGAAUGAGAGUGGGUGCGCGUCUUGUGAUUGAGGAUGAUACAUUGGUGAUGGGUGAAGGGAUGGAAAUGGGGUUGGAGAGAGUGAAGAUUUUGGGGAGAGAUGAAGAAGAAGAAAGGGUGCGAGAAGGGUUGAAGUUAAAGCGAGGAAGAGUGAAAGUGUUGGCCAUGGAUGCCAUACCCAUUUAGUUUAGGCUCUGUUUCUAUGAAUUGAAGGAAA
rnacentral:lncRNA from 1 species